CAGUAGGCAGGCCUUGCCCAGAGGAAGGACCGUGCUUAAGCUGUUUUCUCUACAGAUGGCUGCUGUUGGGAGGCUUCGGAGCAAAACACAGCCUAGAGACAGACAGCUCUUUGCUGUUGUUGCUUCUGGAAAUUCAGUGAUGCCUUUCCCUAUUGCUUAAGAGAUCCUACAGCCUGUUGAUGAAGGAGAUGUAUAGGCAAAGUCUUUGAAGAAAUGGAAUUUGGGAGACUUCAGGGCAGAGCUCCCAGGAUAAGCCUGAUUGUUAUGAGCACAUUCACCCACGGAACACCCCUCUUGACAUCCCAUCAUGGAGAAUCAGCACACUCCAUCCCUCAAGUCUCUGCUUGAGUCAGAGCAGCCAAAGCAGUUGGCUGCAGUGGCACCACAGAGCGGAAUAAAAGAAGGUACUGGGGCAAAUUCAUUUACGGCCUGCAGGUGGUAUGGACAACUACACUGCAGAUACCCUGGAAGGAAGACCAAAUGCAUCAGAGUAUUCAGUGGGAGUCCUAAUCACAAACUGUGCUGGAGCAUCAGUCAGCAGCAAAAGUGGAUCUCUCUGGAAUGACAUAACCUCUUGUGAUGAGCUUUCUUAUCUGAAGCCUUGGUGAGCAUAAUUAGUGAAGAGUUGAUUGCUCUGCAAUUUCAGAUUUUUUUCCUCAAAUUUUAGUGUGGCUUUCACAGCAGUGUUAAGUUCUAGUGGAACUUUGCUGUGCUGGAUAUACUACUACUACUGAAAAUAUAGCAGAAGUUACAACACUGCAGCCCAGA
rnacentral:lncRNA from 1 species